rnacentral:rRNA from 1 species
UACGGAGGGUGCAAGCGUUGUUCGGAAUUAUUGGGCGUAAAGGGCGUGUAGGUGGCUUUUCAAGUCCGGUGUGAAAUCCCACGGCUCAACCGUGGAACUGCAUUGGAAACUGGAUGGCUCGAGGGUUGGAGGGGGUCGCGGAAUUCCCGGUGUAGAGGUGAAAUUCGUAGAUAUCGGGAGGAACACCAGUGGCGAAGGCGGCGACCUGGCCAAUCACUGACACUGAAACGCGA